UACGGAAGGCAGCAGUGGGGAAUAUUGCACAAUGGGCGAAAGCCUGAUGCAGCUAUGCCGCGUGUAUGAAGAAGGCCUUAGGGUUGUAAAGUACUUUCAUCGGGGAGGAAAAACAAAACUAAUAAUUUUAUUUCUUGACGUUACCCGAAAAAGAAGCACCGGCUAACUCCGUGCCAGCAGCCGCGGUAAUACGGAGGGUGCUAGCGUUAAUCAGAAUUACUGGGCGUAAAGAGCACGUAGGUGGUUUUUUUAAGUCAGAUGUGAAAUCCCUGGGCUUAACCUGGAACUGCAUUUUGAAACUGAAAUACUAGAGUAUCGUAGAGGGAGGUAGAAUUCUAGGUGUAGCGGUGAAAUGCGUAGAUAUCUGGAGGAAUACCUGUGGCGAAAGCGGCCUCCUAAACGAAUACUGACACUGAGGUGCGAAAAGCGUGGGGAGCAAACAGGGAUUAGGAUACC
rnacentral:rRNA from 1 species